GCCCCGUUGGCGCAACGGAUAGCGCGUUGGACUUCUAAUCCAAAGGUUGUGGGUUCGAAUCCCACACGGGGUA